AUACGUAGGGGGCGAGCGUUGUCCGGAAUGAUUGGGCGUAAAGGGCGUGUAGGCGGUUGUCUAAGUCUGGAGUGCAAGGCCUGCUUUCAAGGUGGGAAUAGCGUUGGAUACUGGAUGACUUGAGUGCGGAAGAGGGAAGUGGAAUUCCCAGUGUAGCGGUGAAAUGGGUAGAGAUUGGGAGGAACACCAGUGGCGAAGGCGACUUACUGGGCCGUAACUGACGCUGAGGCGCGAAAGCGUGGGGAGCGAACAGGAUUAGAGACCCUGGUAGUCCACGCUGUAAACGAUGGGUACUAGGUGUAGGAGGUAUCGACCCCUUCUGUGCCGGAGUUAACGCAAUAAGUACCCCGCCUGGGGACUACGGUCGCAAGACUAAAACUCAAAUGAAUUGACGGGG
rnacentral:rRNA from 1 species